rnacentral:misc_RNA from 1 species
GAUGAAGAACGCAGCGAAAUGCGAUAAGUAGUGUGAAUUGCAGAAUUCAGUGAAUCAUCGAAUCUUUGAACGCACAUUGCGCCCUUUGGUAUUCCAAAGGGCAUGCCUGUUCGAGCGUCAUUUGUACCCUCAAGCUUUGCUUGGUGUUGGGCGUCUUGUCUCUAGCUUUGCUGGAGACUCGCCUUAAAGUAAUUGGCAGCCGGCCUACUGGUUUCGAAGCGCAGCACAAGUCGCACUCUCUAUCAGCAAAGGUCUAGCAUCCAUUAAGCCUUUUUUUCAACUUUUGACCUCGGAUCAGGUAGGGAUACCCGCUGAACUUAAGCAUAUCAAUAAGCGGAGGA